GAUGAAGAACGUAGUGAAAUGCGAUAAGUAGUGUGAAUUGCAGAAUUCAGUGAAUCAUCGAAUCUUUGAACGCACAUUGCGCCCCUUGGUAUUCCAUGGGGCAUGCCUGUUCGAGCGUCAUUUGUACCUUCAAGCUUUGCUUGGUGUUGGGUGUUUGUCCUGAGGGACUCGCCUUAAAGUAAUUGGCAGCCAGUGUUUGGUUUUGAAGCGCAGCACAAGUCGCGAUUCAAAGCUAUACGCCCGCUUCCACAAGCCUUUUUCACUUUUGACCUCGGAUCAGGUAGGGAUACCCGCUGAAUUUAAGCAUAUCAAUAAGCGGAGGA
rnacentral:misc_RNA from 1 species